GUUUAAGAUUAUUGUUCAAGUAAGUAGAGUAAAAAUUAAAUAUAAGAAAAUUAAUUUAUAUAAAGAUAGUAGUGAUUAAUGAAAUCAGAUAAGGAGCAAUAGAGUAAAAGUACUGUAAAGGAAUAUUUUGUUUAUAGAGUUUAUAACGUUUAUAGUAAUUAUAAGUGAUUGUACCUUGUGUAUCAGGGAGGAUUUAAAUUAUUUAAAAAUUAAUAAAAUUCUCGAAAUAAAUAAUAGCUAAUUUUAUAAAAAGGUUUAUAUUGCAAAAUGAAACUUUAAUAUAAAAUUAAAGAUGAUAUGUUAAACGAGUUUUAUGAUAUCUAGUUUUCUAAGAAAUAAGUAUAAUUUAGACUUUAAAUUAAAAUAAUUUAGAGUUUAAAAGUAGGAGGGAUUAGCUUCUUAUUUUAUAAAGUUAUUAUAAUAGGUAAGUGUAUAUAUGUAUAUUGUUAAAUUAGGCUUAAAAGUAGCCAUAUUAUUAAAGUGUUUUAACUAAUAGAAGAGAAAAAAGAAGGAUUAGCUUUAUUUUUUAUUAGGAUGUUUAUAAUAAUUAAAUAUAUUGAGAAAUAAUGAUUCUAUUAGUAUAAAUGUUGAUAAUAUUAUGAUUGAAUAAUAAAAUAAUGGUAAAUUAUAAUUUUAUAAAGAUAUAGUAAAGGAAUUCGGCAAAUUUAUUCUUUGCUUGUUUAUCAAAAACAUGUCUGUUUGAAGGUUUAGAUAGUCUGACCUGCUCACUGACAAUUAGUUUAAGAGCCGCGGUAAUUUGACCGUGCAAAGGUAGCAUAAUCAUUAGUUCUUUAAUUGAGAACUUGUAUGAAGGGUUUGACAAGGGAAAUACUGUCUUUAUUAUAAAUGUUGAAGUUAACUUUUAAGUGAAAAGGCUUAAAUAAUUCAGAGGGACGAUAAGACCCUAUAAAGUUUUAUAUAAUUAAUAAAAUUGAAUUAAAAUUUUCUAUAUAAAUAUUAGAUUAUUUAUUAUAUUUUAUUGGGGCGAUAAAGAUAUAAGUAAUAUUAACUGUUUAUAUUUUAUACACGGAUAAGUGAAGUCAGAAGGCUAUUAAUUGAUCCUUAAGAGUUAAGAUUAAAAGACUAAAUUACUUUAGGGAUAACAGCGUAAUUUUCUUUGAGAGUUCAUAUCGAAAAGAAAGAUUGCGACCUCGAUGUUGAAUUAAAAUAUCUUUAUGGAGCAGAAUUUAUAAAAGAGGGUCUGUUCGACCUUUAAAUUUUUACAUGAUUUGAGUUCAGACCGGCGUGAGCCAGGUUGGUUUCUAUCUUUUGAUAUUAAGUUAAAUUAUUUUAGUACGAAAGGAUUAAAUAGUUUUAAAUUUUGAUAGUGAGAAAU
rnacentral:rRNA from 1 species